rnacentral:rRNA from 1 species
UACGGAGGGUGCAAGCGUUAUUCGGAUUUACUGGGCGUAAAGCGCACGUAGGCGGCAUUGCAAGUCGUAGGUGAAAGCCCUCGGCUCAACCGAGGAAUUGCCUUCGAAACUGCGCUGCUUGAGUCCGGGAGGGGGGAGCGGAAUUCCCAGUGUAGCGGUGAAAUGCGUAGAUACUGGGAGGAACACCGGUGGCGAAGGCGGCUCCCUGGACCGGUACUGACGCUGAGGUGCGAAAGCGUGGGUAGCAAACAGG